AUGCAUCUAUUUGACAGACCUGAAGCAGUUUACUGUCUGCUAAGGUUUCCACUACAGAUGCAAGAAAAACAUCCUCGCGCUUUCUGCCUGUCUGAUUGUGGCAGCCCAGAUUGAAUGGGGGAACACAGGG
ensembl:snoRNA